rnacentral:rRNA from 1 species
AUCUACAGCCUUAACACUCUGAGUGCACCUGAUCGCCUCAGAUCUCAGAAGUUAAGCAGGGUCCAUCCUGGUUAGUUCUUGGAUGGGAGACUGCCUGGGAAUACUGGGUUAUGUAGGCU